GCCGCGUCAAUCAUUU
rnacentral:rRNA from 1 species